UACGUAGGUGGCAAGCGUUGUUCGGAAUUAUUGGGCGUAAAGAGCGUGUAGGCGGCCAGGUAGGUCUGCUGUGAAAACUCGAGGCUUAACCUCGAGCUGUCGGCGGAAACCAUCUGGCUAGAGUCCGGAAGAGGAGAAUGGAAUUCCCGGUGGUAGCGGGUGAAAUGCGCAGAUAUCGGGAAGAACACCCGUGGCGAAGGCGGUUCUCUGGGACGGUACUGACGCUGGAGACGCGAAAGCGUGGGAGCGAACAGG
rnacentral:rRNA from 1 species